rnacentral:rRNA from 1 species
CCUACGGGAGGCAGCAGUGGGGAAUUUUGGACAAUGGGCGAAAGCCUGAUCCAGCAAUGCCGCGUGAGUGAAGAAGGCCUUCGGGUUGUAAAGCUCUUUUGUCAGGGAAGAAACGGUGAAAGCUAAUAUCUUUUGCUAAUGACGGUACCUGAAGAAUAAGCACCGGCUAACUACGUGCCAGCAGCCGCGGUAAUACGUAGGGUGCAAGCGUUAAUCGGAAUUACUGGGCGUAAAGCGUGCGCAGGCGGUUUUGUAAGUCUGAUGUGAAAUCCCCGGGCUCAACCUGGGAAUUGCAUUGGAGACUGCAAGGCUAGAAUCUGGCAGAGGGGGGUAGAAUUCCACGUGUAGCAGUGAAAUGCGUAGAUAUGUGGAGGAACACCGAUGGCGAAGGCAGCCCCCUGGGUCAAGAUUGACGCUCAUGCACGAAAGCGUGGGGAGCAAACAGGAUUAGAUACCCUGGUAGUCCACGCCCUAAACGAUGUCUACUAGUUGUCGGGUCUUAAUUGACUUGGUAACGCAGCUAACGCGUGAAGUAGACCGCCUGGGGAUACGGUCGCAAGNUAAAACUUAAGGAAUUGACCGGNNGAGAGNGCGAGACGACGACGAGGGAGGAGG